rnacentral:rRNA from 1 species
UACGAAGGGGGCAAGCGUUGUUCGGAAUUACUGGGCGUAAAGCGCACGUAGGCGGAUUGUUAAGUUAGGGGUGAAAUCCCAGGGCUCAACUCUGGAACUGCCUUUAAUACUGGCAAUCUCGAGUCCGAGAGAGGUGAGUGGAAUUCCGAGUGUAGAGGUGAAAUUCGUAGAUAUUCGGAGGAACACCAGUGGCGAAGGCGGCUCACUGGCUCGGUACUGACGCUGAGGUGCGAAAGCGUGGGGAGCAAACAGG